ensembl:lncRNA novel transcript
ACAGUUCACGCCGCUGGAGCUGCCACACAGCAGCUAGACUUGGGCUAGGAGGUGCUUCGCUGUGGCUUUCAGAUGAAGGCCAUUUCAUAGACUCACUUCCCUCGACAGGAGAAAAGGGGACUUGAAUCCAAAGCUGCUCUUAAACCACAGAUGAUUUGCUCUGCUCGGGAGGACAAAGCGCAGGUCACAGCAAGAUAAAGGGAAUUUUGCCAAUAUAAAGAAGCUACAUUACUUAACAAGGGGAUGGGAAAUUGCAUGGAAUUCAUGAACAAAACAUGAACAUAUUCUCUUCACAAAGAAGAGCAGCUUUCUUCACGGAGUAGGUUGCAGAAUGAAGCAAUUAGUCCACUUUUGUGUUUAACAAUAACGCACCAUCCGCAUGAGCAAAAGCAGAGCAGAAAAAUCACCUCAGUUGUCUCAAGUGGCUGGGCUUCAGGACUUAAGAUAAAUUCCUUCAGCAGAUGCAAAUUACAGUGCAUCACCAGCUGAAAAAAUCAGGCACGUCAUGUCAUUUAAUUAUUUCCAAGGAGUGGACGUUGGCAUGUAGUUUUGAUUGAUACUUGGAAAAGAACCAACAAAACCCUACACGAAACAAACAAACAAAAAAUUAUACUAUAUGGCAACGCACUGAGAGAAGCCAGGUGGAAACUGGUUAGGUCACAGGAUCAGAGCCGCUUCAAGAGGGGCACGUGAGUGCACGGUGGGAGUGUGGUCAUGGAGGGCUGGCUGUUGUUGCCCUCUGAGACCAGCUCUGCACCAUUUCGUACCAAUUCUUCUCCCUUACCUCCUCUGUCUCUUUCAGGACCGAUAGAAGCACUGCAGGCAGGAGAAGGAUGGUUUACCUUUCUCAGCCUGGAAAUUAGCUUAGGCAUUUGAUGUUGAAUAUUCUGUGCCACUGUCACUGCUUGGGGUUGUAAGCACCUCUGGUGCAAUUAUGAGCUUCUGGAGGAGUUCCUGACCUCAGCCUUUGUAUGGAAUGCUCUUCCCACAGAUCUUCUUCACUUGUGUCGUUCUCUUUCCAUUCAGAUCGCAGCUUACAUGUCCCCUCCUCAGAGAUGUCUUUGCUGUCUAAAGUGGCUACCCAGCCACAGUGGCUCACGUCUGUAAUCCCAGCAUUUUGGGAGGCUGAGGCAGGAGGAUCCCUUGAGCCCAGGAGUUUGAGACCAGCCUGGGCAAUAUAGCGAGACUCCAUCUCUACUAAAAAAAAAAAAGAAAAAAAUUAGCUGGGCGUGGUGGCCUGAACCUUUAGUCCCAGCUACUCAGGAGGCUAAAGAGAGAGGAUCGCUUGAACCCAGGAGGUCAAGACUGCAGUGAUCUGUGAUCACGCCACUGCACUCCAGCCUGAGCAACAACAGAGUGAGACCUUGUCUCAAAAAAAAAAUUAAAUAAUAAAUAAAUUAAAAAGUGGCUACUCUCGGCAAUUCACCUUC